rnacentral:rRNA from 1 species
CCCUUAGAUGUUCUGGGCCGCACGCGCGCUACACUGACGGAGGCAGCGAGCAUGUCCUUCGCCGAGAGGUGUGGGGAAUCUUGUGAGUCUCCGUCGUGCUGGGGAUAGAUGGUUGCAAUUGUCGAUCUUGAACGAGGAAUUCCUAGUAAGCGCGAGUCAUCAGCUCGCGCUGAUUACGUCCCUGCCCUUUGUACACACCGCCCGUCGCUCCUACCGAUUGGGUGUGCUGGUGAAAUGUUCGGAUCGGCCGUUUGUCGCGGUUUCCGCGUCAUGUGGCUGAGAAGUUCAUUAAACCCUCCCACCUAGAGGAAGGAGAAGUCGUAAC